rnacentral:rRNA from 1 species
CGGAGUCUAGCAUGUGCGCAAGUCAUUGGGAUUAAACCUAAAGGCGCAAUGAAAGUAAAAGUUCGUCUUGCACGUCUUAGGGAGGAUGGGCUGCUGCCCCGCACUCCCAGGGCGUCUCAUUCUCAUUGCGAGAAGAGGCGCACCUAGAGCGUACACGCUGGGACCCGAAAGAUGGUGAACUAUGCCUGGUGAGGACGAAGUCAGGGGAAACCCUGAUGGAGGUCCGUAGCGAUUCUGACGUGCAAAUCGAUCGUCGGAACUGGGUAUAGGGGCGAAAGACUAAUCGAACCAUCUAGUAGCUGGUUCCCUCCGAAGUUUCCCUCAGGAUAGCUGGCGCUCAUUGCGUACGAGUUUCAUCCGGUAAAGCGAAUGAUUAGAGGCAUUGGGGUCGAAACGGCCUCAACCUAUUCUCAAACUUUAAAUGGGUGAGAUCUUCAGCUUGCUUGACUCGAAUCAGAGUGCCAAGUGGGCCAUUUUUGGUAAGCAGAACUGGCGCUGUGGGAUGAACCAAACGCAGAGUUAAAGCGCCUAAAUUAACGCUUAUGGGAUACCAUGAAAGGCGUUGGUAACUUAAGACAUCAGGACGGUGGCCAUGGAAGUC